UUAGGAAAUAAACCGCGCGUAUGUGUGCGUGCGUGGCGUGCGUGUGUCUAGUUCUAGUCGUGUUCGUGUUCAGGUUGGUUCGAGCCGGUUUGUGGCGUCGUAGGGAGCAGGUAGUAAGCGCAGGGUAGGCCAAGGUCUCGCGGAUGAGGUAGACUCACGAUCGAGAGAAGAUGGAUCGCGGCGUACGCGCGCCGGAGCGAUUGGAAGUUGCUUGGGUACCACGUUGAUGAAGUUGCGUGGAAGCUACGUUUCAGCUUGCGUGGGUGCUGCGUUGCUCAGCUAUAAAAAGGCUUGUAAUCUGUCCAGAUUUGGUGUGGAGAAAUAAAGAGUAAAAAGGGGCUGUACGUGCGGCCGGAAAACAACUCCCGUAUUUCUUCUACCUACGUCUUGUGUAUGUGCGCGAGAUCAAUCUGAGAGAGAGCUAGCUAGUCUAGCCCCAACACCGUGCGUCCCUUCAUCCUCCAUCUUUUGCGUUCUCACACUUUCUUCAAAUAAGCCAUGUACAGACCACACCGGCCAAGUCAACCUCACCCAUAAACUUGAGUUCAUUGCUGGUUUUCGACGUCCUCCGUGAUUAUCUCGCCGAUUCCCUGUACCAGGAGACUCCACUUGUCUAGGGCUACCUCCAGGACAUGGAGGUACAUCAAGUUGUCGUUGUUGGUCGCGACACCUUCGGAGUUCAUCGGAUCGGACAUGAUUUUGCGCCAUUUACUUCUGUUUUCAACGCUGCCGCCGAAGCCAUGCCAUCGCCGUGUUGAGAGAUGAACGUCUGGAGCCGUAUCGGAGAGCGCCAAGGACGCCCUGAGAAUGUUGUCACCUGCUGCACGUCGUUUGCCACUUCGCCAUUGCCAAGGACCGCCGGAGCGUCGCCUGUGUCGACGGUUGUGCCGCCAUCGUCGUCCUUUUCCUGGCCAUGGACUUUGUUGUAGCUCGUUCGUAUGAAGAGCGACGUGUUUUGUUGAGAGAAGUGAACGAUCUUCAAUUACCAAAAAGGCAAGUGACAUUCAAUCCUACCUAUUUUAUAUUAUGCAUUAGUGUUUUUCAACUAGUAUGCAUGAUAGGUUUUGUUUUAAAAAGUGAAGUGUAUAUGCUAUGCUUAGUAAACCUGGUAGUGUGAAGCCGCUCUCAAGAUACUUGCUAGGAUGCUAUUUCGCUUUGCAAUAUCAAAUGCCAAUGUUGUUUCGUUGUUGGAUGGGAGUGUUUGAAAUUAAAAAAAAUUAACAACCCUAAUGAAACACCUGGGUGGAAUGGUUGUAUGGUGGGCGGCUACUCAGGGCCCCGAUCCCUGGCUGAUAUACCCAGUGGACAGGUGGGUGGUUUUCACCUGAGAGUGCGCAGUUGAAUAGUGGUUGCUCUAGACCGCACCUCUGGUCAACCAGGGGAUCGUGCGGGGGUUUAUUACCUGGGAUGGGUUUUAAGCCUGUGAGUUUCACUUGUGGUUGGCUACCCAGGAUUAAAGAGAUUACCAAGUCGUCCAUGUUUAGAUAGCUUCCAGUGCAGCCUUAUGGUAUUAUGGGCUCUGCCAGGAUUAUUAAGUUGUGAGGUUCAACUUGUCGGCUAGACAUUCAGAUGUGGCGACGACCAAGGGGAACGGGUCUAGCCAGUAUGGUUGUUCUCUCCUUCUGAAAAAUCUUGUCUCAUUCUUCUCUUGGGAAGGGUGGGUCGUAAGGUGAAAGUGCACAAUCUCUCGAGAGUUAAACCUAAGAUCUUAGCCGUGUCCCCGAUUAUGGACAAUUUGAGCUUCUAGGCAAGGAAUGUACGGAAGAAUCUCAUCACCUUUUCUGAAUGUAUUUAAAAUUGUGUAUCAACCUUCGAAAACUCAUGGGAGAUGUAACCAUGUGAUUAUUCUAAAACCCAUGGAGGAUUUAACCAUGGUGCUAUUUCAUAAUGUCAUUCAAGGAUUUUCAAAAUGUUUUGUUUUAAAUAAAAUAUAGGAUAAAAUUGGCUUUAUGCAAAUUUGCCUAAACUCCACUAGCCAAAUAUCAUGUAGAUAAUCAUGCCUAAAAACUGCCACCAUAUAAGUGACAUUUGCCAGUACAUCAUUGUACUGACCUCCAUUCGUGGGGCUGCAUAUUCAAACGUGCAGGUUCUUCGGAAGAUGAGUACUAUUAGGAUCUGGAGUCUACAUUCCAACAUGUCUGCCUGUGGCGCAUGAAGAUGAUGGAAGCUCAUUGCAAUUUAUAUUUCCGUUGUGUUUGCUCGAACUCUAUUAUAUGAGCUAGUCCAUGAGACUAUGCAAUUUGUAAGGUUUUACUUUACCCUCUGGAUCAACGAUGUAGUAAAUUGAUACUAUUGCAAUGAUUACUAUAUUUUGUAAUGUGUGUGCUAUCAGUGAUCCCGGGAAUGGCACUAUACACAGGUAUCUUGCCUUUAUUAAAAGGUAGGGUGCUACAGAAUCGCCGGAAUCCAUGGC